AGUGAACGCUGGCGGUAGGCCUAACACAUGCAAGUCGAACGACAGCACAGUAAGAGCUUGCUCUUACGGGUGGCGAGUGGCGGACGGGUGAGGAAUACAUCGGAAUCUACUUUUUCGUGGGGGAUAACGUAGGGAAACUUACGCUAAUACCGCAUACGACCUACGGGCGAAAGCAGGGGAUCUUCGGACCUUGCGCGAUUGAAUGAGCCGACGUCGGAUUAGCUAGUUGGCGGGGUAAAGGCCCACCAAGGCGACGAUCCGUAGCUGGUCUGAGAGGAUGAUCAGCCACACUGGAACUGAGACACGGUCCAGACUCCUACGGGAGGCAGCAGUGGGGAAUAUUGGACAAUGGGCGCAAGCCUGAUCCAGCCAUACCGCGUGGGUGAAGAAGGCCUUCGGGUUGUAAAGCCCUUUUGUUGGGAAAGAAAAGCAGCAGGUUAAUCCCCCGCUGUUCUGACGGUACCCAAAGAAUAAGCACCGGCUAACUUCGUG
rnacentral:rRNA from 1 species